rnacentral:rRNA from 1 species
UCCUUGCGAUUACAUCAAAGAGGUGAUCGGCUAGCGGCAAACGGGUGAGUAACACAUUGGUAACCUGCCUCCGAGACGGGCACAACACUGCGAAAGCGGUGCUAAUUCCCGAUGGCCUCUUCGGUGAGAGUCCGAAAGAGUAAACGCCCAAAAGGCGCUCGGAGAGGGGCCUAUGGCCUAUCAGCUAGUUGGUGCGGUAAUGGCGCACCAAGGCGACGACGGGUAGCAGGCGUGAGAGCGCGACCUGCCUCAGUGGGACUGCGACACUGCCCACACUCCUACGGGAGGCUGCAGUCGAGAAUAUUCCACAAUGGGGGAAACCCUGAUGGAGCGACACCGCGUGGGGGAUGAAGGCCUUUGGGUCGUAAACCCCUUUUGCACGGGACGAAGUUAUUGACGGUACCGUGAGAAUAAGAGGUUGCUAACUCUGUGCCAGCAGCAGCGGUAAUACAGAGACCUCAAGCGUUAUCCGAAUUUACUGGGCGUAAAGCGUCCGCAGGUGGUUCGUUAAGUCAUCUGUCAAAUCCCGGCGCUCAACGCCGGAACUGCGGGUGAUACUGGCGGACUUGAGGCUGGGAGAGGGAAGAGGAACUGCCGGUGUAGUAGUAAAAUGCGUUAAUAUCGGCAGGAACACCAAAGGCGAAGGCAUCUUCCUGGAACAGUCCUGACACUCAGGGACGAAAGCGUGGGGAGCAAAACGGAUUAGAUACCCGUGUAGUCCACGCCCUAAACGAUGAGUGCUAGAUAUAGGGAGUAUCGACCCUCCCUGUGUCGUUCACACAAGCUAACGCGUUAAGCACUCCGCCUGGGGAGUACGGCCGCAAGGCUAAAACUCAAAGGAAUAGACGGGGACCCGCACAAGCGGUGGAACAUGUGGUUCAAUUCGACAACAAGCGAGAAACCUUACCAGGGCUUGACAUUCUGCUGCUAGCGCACGGGAAACGUGUGAUCUUUCGAGAGUGCAGAACCAGGUGCUGCAUGGGCUGUCGUCAGCUCGUGCUUGUGAA